GACGAACGCUGGCGGCGUGCUUAACACAUGCAAGUCGAACGGAAAGGCCCUGCUUUUGUGGGGUGCUCGAGUGGCGAACGGGUGAGUAACACGUGAGUAACCUGCCCUUGACUUUGGGAUAACUUCAGGAAACUGGGGCUAAUACCGGAUAGGAGCUCCUGCUGCAUGGUGGGGGUUGGAAAGUUUCGGCGGUUGGGGAUGGACUCGCGGCUUAUCAGCUUGUUGGUGGGGUAGUGGCUUACCAAGGUUUUGACGGGUAGCCGGCCUGAGAGGGUGACCGGCGACAAUGGGACUGAGAGACGGCCCAGAAUCCUACGGGAGGCAGCAGGGGGGAGUAUUGCACAAUGGGCGGAAGCCUGAUGCAGCAACGCCGCGUGCGGGAUGACGGCCUUCGGGUUGUAAACCGCUUUCGCCUGUGACGAAGCGUGAGUGACGGUAAUGGGUAAAGAAGCACCGGCUAACUACGUG
rnacentral:rRNA from 1 species